ACUUGCCCAGUACGCGCUCUAGCCGAUGGUGAUGGCAUCCGCGGACAUCGUGUUCCUCCCUGUAGACUCCGUCGUGGUGCUCCUUCUCCUUCCUUCAAGCUCCGGGUGAAAGCUUGAUCUUCGGAUCGGACGGUGGCGACAUUCCAUGGUCGUACCCCUUCUUGGAGGCAUCGUCUUGGAGUCCUCGGUCCAGUGUGGUCCGUCACACUUCUCGGUUCAUCGGGCAUCCUGUGGGUGCGUGGUAGUCAUUGAGGGUGUAUUUCGGUGCCAAGCAUCCUUGUAUCUCGUCUUGGGUGUGUGUGGUGUGUGUUUGUAUCGAUGGCUUGGUUGUGGAUGUUGGUUGCUUUAUAAUCUAAAGCGGGGGGGAACCCUUUUUCGUAAUAUGAUGCAACCAAAAGGUUUUGUCGAUCCUAAAGGUGCUAACAAAGUAAGCAAGCUCCAAUGAUCCGUCUAUGGACUGGUGCAAGCAUCUCGGAGUUGGAAUAUAUGCUUUGAUAAAGUGAACAAAGCAUAUGGUUUUAUAUAGACUUGCGGUGAAGUUUGUAUUUACAAGAAAGUGAGUGGGAGCACUACAACAUUUCUGAUAAGUAUAUGUGAAUGACAUAUUGUUGAUCAGAAAUAAUGUAGAAUUUUCUGGAAAGCAUAAAGGAGUGUUUGAAAAGAGUUUUUCAAAGGAAGACAUCGAUGAAGCUACUUACAUAUUGAGCAUCAAGAUCUGUAGAGAUAGAUCAAGAUGCUUGAUAUAUUUUCAAUGAGUACAUACCUUGACAAGAUUUUGAAGUAGUUCAAAAUGGAAAAGUCAAAGAAGAAGUUCUUGCCUAUGUUGCAAGGUGUGAAGUUGAGUAAAGACUCAAAACCCGACCACGGUAGAAAAUAAAAAGAGAAUGAAAAGUCAUUCCCUAUGCCUCAGUCAUAGGUUCUAUAAAGUAUGACAUGCUAUGUAGCAGACCUAUUGUAUACCCUGCCCUGAGUUUGACAAAGGAGUACAAUGGUGAUCUAGGAGUAGAUCACUAGACAGCGGUGAAAAUUAUCCUUAGAGUACUAAGGAAAUAUUUCUCGGUUAUGGAGGUGAUAAAAGAGUCCGUCAUAAAGAGUUACGUCGAUGCAAGAUUUUUUACAUCGAUCUAGAUGACUCCAGGUCUCGAUCUAGAUACAUAUUUAAAGUGGGAGCAAUUAUCUAGAGUAUCUCCAUGCAGAGCAUUGUAGACACAGAAAUUUGCGAAAUACAUACGGAUCUGGUGUGGCAGACCCGUUGACUAAAUUUCUCUCACAAGCAAAACAUGAUCACUCUUUGGGUGUUAAUCACAUAGUGAUGUGAACUAGAUUAUUGACUCUAGUAAACCCUUUGGGUGUUAGUCACAUGGAGAUGUGAACUAAUCACAUAAUGAUGUGAACUAUUGGUGUUAAAUCACAUGGCGAUGUGAACUAGAUUAUUGACUCUAGUGCAAGUGGGAGACUGAAGGAAAUAUGCCCUAGAGGCAAUAAUAAAGUUGUUGUUUAUAUUUCCUUAUAUCAUGAUAAAUGUUUAUUAUGUUGGAAAUAUGCCCUAGAGGCAAUAAUAAAAUGGUUAUUAUUAUAUUUCUUUGUUCAUGAUAAUUGUCUAUUGUUCAUGCUAUAAUUGUGUUAUCCGGAAAUCGUAAUACAUGUGUGAAUACAUAGACCACAACAUGUCCCUAGUGAGCCUCUAGUUGACUAGCUCGUUGAUCAAAAGAUAGUCAUGGUUCCCUGACUAUGGACAUUGGAUGUCAUUGAUAACGGGAUCACAUCAUUACGAGAAUGAUGUGAUGGACAAGAACCAAUCCUAAGCAUAGCUCAAAGAUCGUGUAGUUCGUUUGCUAUAGCUUUUCCGAAUGUCAAGUAUCAUUUCCUUAGACCAUGAGAUUGUGCAACUCCCGGAUACCGUAGGAGUGCUUUGGGUGUGCCAAACGUCACAACAUAACUAGGUGACUAUAAAGGUACACUACAGGUAUCUCCGAAAGUGUCUGUUGGGUUGGCACGAAUCGAGACUGGGAUUUGUCACUCCGUAUGACGGAGAGGUAUCUCUGGGCCCACUCGGUAAUGCAUCAUCAUAAUGAGCUCAAUGUGACCAAGUGGUUGAUCACGGGAUCAUGCAUUAUGGUACGAGUAAAGUGACUUGCCGGUAACGAGAUUGAACGAGGUAUUGGGAUACCGACGAUCGAGUCUCGAGCAAAUAACGUACCGAUUGACAAAGGGAAUUGUAUACGGAUUGAUUGAAUCCUCGACAUCGUGGUUCAUCCGAUGAGAUCAUCGAGGAGCAUGUGGGAGCCAACAUGGGUAUCCAGAUCCCGCUGUUGGUUAUUGACCGGAGAGUCGUCUCGGUCAUGUCUGCGUGUCUCCCGAACCCAUACGGUCUACACACUUAAGGUUCGGUGAUGCUAGGGUUGUUGAGAUAUUAGUAUAUGGUAACCCGAAAGUUGUUUGGAGUCCUGGAUGAGAUCCCGGAUGUCACGAGGAGUUCCGGAAUGGUCCAGAGGUGAAGAUUUAUAUAUAGUAAAUCAAGUUUCGGCCAUCAGGAAAGUUUCGGGGGUAAUCGGUAUUGUACCGGGACCACCGGAAGGGUCCCGGGGGUCCACCGGGUGGGGCCACCUAUCCCGGAGGGCCCCAUGGGCUGAAGUGGGAGGGGAACCAGCCCCUAGUGGGCUGGUGCACCCCCCUUGGGCCUCCCCCUACGCCUAGGGUUGGAAACCCUAGGGGUGGGGGGCGCCCCACUUGGCUUGGGGGCAAGCCACCCCCUUGGCCGCCCCCCCCCCCUUGGAGAUUGGAUCUCCUAGGGCCGGCGCCCCCCCUAGGGACCCUAUAUAUAGUGGGGGGAGGGAGGGCAGCCGCACCCUAGCCCCUGGCGCCUCCCUCUCCCUCCCGUGACACUCCUCCCUCUCCCUGAGCUUGGCGAAGCCCUGCCGGGAUCACCGUUGCUUCCACCACCACGCCGUCGUGCUGCUGGAUCUUCAUCAACCUCUCCUUCCCCCUUGCUGAGGAGACGUCUUCCCAACCGUACGUGUGUUGAACGCGGAGGUGCCGUCCGUUCGGCGCUAGGUCAUCGGUGAUUUGGAUCAUGACGAGUACGACUCCAUCAACCCCAUUCUCUUGAACGCUUCCGCGCGCGAUCUACAAGGGUAUGUAGAUGCACUCCCCUCUCCCUCGUUGCUAGAUGACUCCACAGAUUGAUCUUGGUUAUGCGUAGAAAAUUUUAAAAUUCUGCUACGUUCCCCAAUAGUGGUAUCAUGAGCUAGGUCUAUGCGUAGUUUCUAUGCACGAGUAGAACACAAAGUAGUUGUGGGCGUCGAUAUUGUCAAUUUGCUUGCUGUUACUAGUCUUAUCUUGAUUCGGUGGCAUCGUGGGAUGAAGCGGCCCGGACCUACCUUACACAUACGCUUACGUGAGACUGGUUCCACCGAUUUACAUGCACUAGUUGCAUAAGGUGGCUGGCGGGUGUCUGUCUCUCCCACUUUAGUCGGAUCGGAUUCGAUGAAAAGGGUCCUUAUGAAGGGUAAAUAGAAAUUGGCAUAUCACGUUGUGGUUUUGGCGUAGGUAAGAAACGUUCUUGCUAGAAACCUAUAGCAGCCACGUAAAAAACUUGCAACAACAAUUAGAGGACGUCUAACUUGUUUUUGCAGCAUGUGUCGUGUGAUGUGAUAUGGCCAAAAGGAUGUGAUGAAUGAUAUAUGUGAUGUAUGAGAUUGAUCAUGUUCUUGUAAUAGGAAUCACGACUUGCAUGUUGAUGAGUAUGACAACCGGCAGGAGCCAUAGGAGUUGUCUUAAUUUAUUUAUGACCUGCGUGUCAACAUAAAUGUCAUGUAAUUACUUUACUUUAUUGCUAAAGCAUUAGCCGUUGUAGUAGAAGUAAUAGAUGACGAGACAACUUCAAGAAGACACAAUGAUGGAGAUCAUGAUGAUGGAGAUCAUGCUGUCAUGCCGGUGACAACGAUGAUCAUGAAGCCCCGAAGAUGGAGAUCAAAAGGAGCAAAUGAUAUUGGCCAUAUCAUGUCACUAUUUGAUUGCAUGUGAUGUUUAUCAUGUUUUACAUCUUAUUUGCUUAGAACGAUGGUAGCUUAAAUAAGAUGAUCCCUCGUAAUAAUUUCAAGACAGUGUUCCCCCUAACUGUGCACCGUUGCGAAGGUUCAUUGUUUCAAAGCACCACGUGAUGAUCGGGUGUGAUAGAUUCUAACGUUCGAAUACAACGGGUGUAAGCCAGAUUUACACACGCAAUACACUUAGGUUAACUUGACGAGCCUAGCAUGUACAGACAUGGCCUCGAAACACGGAAGACCGAAAGGUCGAGCAUGAGUCGUAUAGAAGAUACGAUCAACAUGAAGAUGUUCACCGAUGUUGGCUAGUCUGUCUCACGUGAUGAUCGGACACGGCCUAGUUGACUCGGAUCAUGUUUCACUUAGAUGACUAGAGGGAUGUCUAUCUAAGUGGGAGUUCAUUGAAUAAUUUGAUUAGAUGAACUUAACUAUCCUGAACUUAGUCUAAAAUCUUUACACUAUGUCUUGUAGAUCAAAUGGCCCACGCUAAUGUUGCCCUCAACUUCAACGCGUUCCUAGAGAAAACCAAGUUGAAAGACGAUGGCAGCAACUAAACGGACUGGCUCCGGAACCUGAGGAUCAUCCUCAUAGCUGCCAAGAAAGAUUAUGUCCGAGAAGCACCGCUAGGUGAUGCACCCAUCCCAGAGAACCAAGACGUUAUGAAUGCUUGGCAGUCACGUGCUGAUGAUUACUCCCUCGUUCAGUGCGGCAUGCUUUAAAGCUUAGAACCGGGGCUCCAAAAGCGUUUUGAGAGACACGGAGCAUAUGAGAUGUUCGAAGAGCUGAAAAUGGUUUUCCAAGCUCAUGCCCGGGUCGAGAGAUAUGAAAUCUCUGACAAGUUCUUCAGCUGUAAGAUGGAGGAAAAUAGUUCUGUCAGUGAGCACAUACUCAAAAUGUCUGGGUUGCAUAACCGCUUGACUCAGCUGGGCGUUAAUCUCCCGGAUGACGCGGUCAUUGACAGAAUCCUUCAGUCGCAUCCACCGAGCUACAAGAGCUUUGUGAUGAACUUCAAUAUGCAGGGGAUGGAAAAGACCAUUCCUGAGGUAUAUUCAAUGCUGAAAUCAGCAGAGGUGGAAAUCAAAAAGGAACAUCAGGUGUUGAUGGUGAAUAAAACCACUAAGUUCAAGAAAGGCAAGGGUAAGAAGAACUUCAAGAAGGACAGCAAGGGAGUUGCCGCGCCCGGUAAGCAAGCUGCCAGGAAGAAGCCAAAGAAUGGACCCAAGCCCGAGACUGAGUGUUUUUAUUGCAAGGGAAGUGGUCACCGGAAGCGGAACUGCCCCAAAUACUUAGCGGACAAGAAGGCCGGCAACACUAAAGGUAUAUGUAAUCGAUGUGUACCUUACCAGUACUCGUAGUAGCUCCUGGGUAUUUGAUACCGGUGCGGUUACUCACAUUUGUAACUCAAAGCAGGAGCUGCGGAAUAAGCGGAGACUGGCGAAGGACGAGGUGACGAUGCGCGUCGGGAAUGGUUCCAAGGUCGAUGUGAUCGCCAUCGGCAUGCUACCUCUACAUUUACCUACGGGAUUAGUUUUAAACCUCAAUAAUUGUUAUUUAGUGCCAGCUUUGAGCAUGAACAUUGUAUCAGGAUCUCGUUUAAUUCGAGAUGGCUACUCAUUUAAAUACGAGAAUAAUGGUUGUUCUAUUUAUAUGAGACAUAUGUUUUAUGGUCAUGCUCCGCUGGUGAAUGGUUUAUUCUUAAUGAAUCUUGAGUGUAAUGUUACACAUAUUCAUAGUGUGAAUACCAAAAGAUGUAAGGUUGAUAAUGAUAGUCCCACAUACUUGUGGCACUGCCGCCUUGGUCACAUAGGUGUCAAACGCAUGAAGAAGCUCCAUGUCGAUGGACUUUUGGAGUCUCUUGAUUACGAAUCAUUUGACAUGUGCGAACCAUGCCUCAUGGGUAAAAUGACCAAGACUCUGUUCUCAGGAACAAUGGAGCGAGCAACCAACUUAUUGGAAAUCAUACAUACUAAUGUGUGCGGUCCAAUGAGUGUUGAGGCUCGCGGUGGCUAUCGUUAUGUUCUCACCCUCACUGAUGACUUGAGUAGAUAUGGGUAUGUCUACUUAAUGAAACACAAGUCGAGACCUUUGAAAAGUUUAAGGAAUUUCAGAGUGAGGUUGAGAAUCAACGUGACAGGAAAAUCAAGUUCUUGCGAUCAGAUCGUGGGGGAGAAUACUUGAGUCACGAAUUUGGCACACACUUAAGAAAAUGUGGAAUAGUUUCACAACUCACGCCGCCUGGAACACCUCAGCGUAAUGGUGUGUCCGAACGUCGUAAUCGCACUCUAUUAGAUAUGGUGCGAUCUAUGAUGUCUCUUACCGAUCUACUGUUGUCAUUUUGGGGCUAUGCUUUAGAGACUGCCGCAUUCACUUUAAAUAGGGCUCCAUCGAAAUCCAUUGAGAUGACACCGUAUGAAUUAUGGUUUGGGAAGAAACCUAAGCUGUCGUUUCUAAAAGUUUGGGGAUGCGAUGCUUAUGUCAAGAAACUUCAACCUAAAAAGCUCGAACCCAAAUCGGAAAAAUGUGUCUUCAUAGGAUACCCAAAAGAAACUAUUGGGUAUACCUUCUACCUCAGAUCCAAAGGCAAGAUCUUUGUUGCCAAGAAUGGGUCCUUUCUAGAGAAAGAGUUUCUCUCGAAAGAAAUAAGUGGGAGGAAAGUAGAACUUGAUGAAGUAUUACCUCUUGAACCGGUAAGUGGCGCAGCUCAAGAAAAUGUUCCUGAGGUGCCUGCAUUGACUAGAGAGGAAGUUAAUGAUGAUGAUCAUGAAACUUCAGAUCAAGUUUCUACUGAACUUCGUAGGUCCACGAGGACACGUUCCGCACCAGAGUGGUACGGCAACCCUAUCUUGGAAAUCAUGUUGUUAGACAACGGUGAACCUUCAAACUAUGAAGAAGCGAUGGCGGGCCCGGAUUCCAACAAAUGGCUGGAAGCCAUGAAAUCCGAGAUAGGAUCCAUGUAUGAAAACGAAGUAUGGACUUUGACUAACUUGCCCGAUGAUCGGCGAGCCAUAGAAAAUAAAUGGAUCUUUAAGAAGAAGAUAGACGCGGAUGGUAAUGUAACCAUCUAUAAAGCUCGGCUUGUCGCUAAGGGUUAUUGACAAGUUCAAGGGGUUGACUACGAUGAGACUUUUUCACCCGUAGCGAAGCUGAAGUCCGUCCGAAUCACGUUAGCAAUUGCCACAUUCUAUGAUUAUGAGAUAUGGCAAAUGGACGUCAAAACGGCAUUCCUUAAUGGUUUCCUUAAGGAAGAAUUGUAUAUGAUGCAGCCGAAAGGUUUUGUCGAUCCUAAGAAUGCUGACAAGGUGUGCAAGCUCCAACGCUCGAUUUAUGGGCUGGUGCAAGCAUCUUGGAGUUGGAACAUUUUUUUUGAUGAGAUGAUCAAAGCGUUUGGGUUUACGUAGACUUAUUGAGAAGCCUGCAUUUACAAGAAAGUGGGUGGGAGCUCUGUAGCAUUUCUCAUAUUGUAUGUGGAUGACAUACUGUUGAUGGGAAAUGAUAUAGAAUUCUUGGAAAGCAUAAAGGCCUGCUUGAACAAGUGUUUUUCAAUGAAGGAUCUUCGAGAAGCUGCUUAUAUAUUAGGCAUCAAGAUAUAUAGAGAUAGAUCGAGACGCCUCAUUGGUCUUUCACAGAGUACGUACCUUGACAAGAUAUUGAAGAAGUUCAAAAUGGAUAAGUCAAAGAAGGGGUUCUUGCCUGUAUUGCAAGGUAUGAGAUUGAGCACGGCUCAAUGCCCGACCACGGCAGAAGAUAGAGAAAAGAUGAGUGUCGUCCCCUAUGCCUCGGCCAUAGGGUCUAUCACGUAUGCUAUGCUGUGUACCAGACCUGAUGUAAACCUUGCCGUAAGUUUGGUAGGAAGGUACCAAAGUAAUCCCAGCAUGGAACACUGGACAGCGGUCAAGAAUAUCCUGAAGUACCUGAAGAGGACUAAGGAUAUGUUUCUUGUUUAUGGAGGUGACGAAGAGCUCGUCGUAAAGGGUUACGUCGAUGCUAGCUUCGACACAGAUCUGGAUGACUCUAAGUCACAAACCGGAUACGUGUAUAUUUUGAAUGGUGGGGCAGUAAGCUGGUGCAGUUGCAAGCAAAGCGUUGUGGCGGGAUCUACAUGUGAAGCGGAGUACAUGGUAGCCUCGGAGGCAGCACAAGAGGCAAUCUGGGUGAAGGAGUUCAUUACCGACCUAGGAGUCAUACCCAAUGCGUCGGGCCCGAUGACUCUCUUCUGUGACAACACUGGAGCUAUUGCCCUUGCCAAGGAGCCCAGGUUUCACAGGAAGACCAGGCAUAUCAAGCGUCGCUUCAACUCCAUUCGUGAAAGUGUUCAAAAUGGAGACAUAGAUAUUUGUAAAGUACAUAUGGACCUGAAUGUGGCAGAUCCUUUGACUAAACCUCUCCCUAGAGCAAAACAUGAUCAACACCAGAACUGCAUGGGUGUUCGAUUCAUCAGAAUGUAACUAGACUAUUGACUCUAGUGCAAGUGGGAGACUGUUGGAAAUAUGCCCUAGAGGCAAUAAUAAAAUGGUUAUUAUUAUAUUUCUUUGUUCAUGAUAAUUGUCUAUUGUUCAUGCUAUAAUUGUGUUAUUCAGAAAUCGUAAUACAUGUGUGAAUACAUAGACCACAACACGUCCCUAGUGAGCCUCUAGUUGACUAGCUCGUUGAUCAAAAGAUAGUCAUGGUUUCCUGACUAUGGACAUUGGAUGUCAUUGAUAACGUGAUCACAUCAUUAGGAGAAUGAUGUGAUGGACAAGACCCAAUCCUAAGCAUAGCUCAAAGAUCGUGUAGUUCGUUUGCUAUAGCUUUUCCGAAUGUCAAGUAUCAUUUCCUUAGACCAUGAGAUUGUGCAACUCCCGGAUACCGUAGGAGUGCUUUGGGUGUGCCAAACGUCACAACAUAACUAGGUGACUAUAAAGGUACACUACAGGUAUCUCCGAAAGUGUCUGUUGGGUUGGCACGAAUCGAGACUGGGAUUUGUCACUCCGUAUGAUGGAGAGGUAUCUCUGGGCCCACUCGGUAAUGCAUCAUCAUAAUGAGCUCAAUGUGACCAAGUGGUUGAUCACGGGAUCAUGCAUUACGGUACGAGUAAAGUGACUUGUCGGUAACGAGAUUGAACGAGGUAUUGGGAUACCGACGACCGAGUCUCGGGCAAGUAACGUACCGAUUGACAAAGGGAAUUGUAUACGGAUUGAUUGAAUCCUCGACAUCGUGGUUCAUCCGAUGAGAUCAUCGAGGAGCAUGUGGGAGCCAACAUGGGUAUCCAGAUCCCGUUGUUGGUUAUUGACCGGAGAGUCGUCUCGGUCAUGUCUGCGUGUCUCCCGAACCCGUAGGGUCUACACACUUAAGGUUCGGUGACGCUAGGGUUGUUGAGAUAUUAGUAUACGGUAACCCGAAAGUUGUUCGGAGUUCGGAUGAGAUCCCGAACGUCACGAGGAGUUCCAGAAUGGUCCGGAGGUGAAGAUUUAUAUAUAGGAAGUCAAGUUUCGGCCAUCGAGAAAGUUUUGGGGGUAAUCGGUAUUGUACCGGGACCACCGGAAGGGUCCCGGGGGUCCACCGGGUGGGGCCACCUAUCCCGGAGGGCCCCAUGGGAUGAAGUGGGAGGGGAACCAGCCCCUAGUGGGAUGGUGCGCCCCCCUUGGGCCUCCCCCUGUGCCUAGGGUUGGAAACCCUAGGGGUGGCGAGCGCCCCACUUGGCUUGGGGGGCAAGCCACCCCCUUGGAGAUUGGAUCUCCUAGGGCCGGCACCCCCCCUAGGGACCCUAUAUAUAGUGGGGUGAGGGAGGGCAGCCGCACCCUAGCCCCUGGCGCCUCCCUCUCCCUCCCGUGACACUCCUCCCUCUCCCUGAGCUUGGCGAAGCCCUGCCGAGAUCACCGUUGCUUCCACCACCACACCGUCGUGCUGCUGGAUCUUCAUCAACCUCUCCUUCCCCCUUGCUGGAUCAAGUUGGAGGAGACGUCUUCCCAACCGUACGUGUGUUGAACGCGGAGGUGUCGUCCGUUCGGCGCUAGGUCAUCGGUGAUUUGGAUCACGACGAGUACGACUCCAUCAACCCCGUUCUCUUGAACGCUUCCGCGCGCGAUCUACAAGGGUAUGUAGAUGCACUCCCCUCUCCCUCAUUGCUAGAUGACUCCAUAGAUUGAUCUUGGUGAUGCAUAGAAAAUUUUAAAAUUCUGCUACGUUCCCCAACAUAUUAUUCAUGCUAGAAUUGUAUUAAUCGGAAACUUAGUACAUGUGUGAAUACAUAGACAAUCAGAAUGUCACUAGUAUGCCUCUACUUGACUAGCUCGUUGAAUCAAUCAUGGUUAUGUUUCCUAACGAAAUACAUGAGUUGUCAUUUGAUUAACGGGAUCACAUCAUUAGAUAAUGAUGUGAUUGACUUGACCAAUCCGUUAGCUUAGCACGAUGAUCAUUUAGUUUGUUGCUAUUGCUUUCUUCAUGACUUAUACAUGUUCCUAUGACUAUGAGAUUAUGCAACUCCCGAUUACCGGAGGAACACUUUGUGUGCUACCAAACGUCACAACGUAACUGGGUGAUUAUAAAGGUGCUCUACAGGUGUCUCCGAUGGUGCUUGUUGAGUUGGCAUAGAUCGAGAUUAGGAUUUGUCGCUGAUUGUAGGAGAGGUAUCUCUGGGCCCUCUCGGUAAUGCACAUCACUAUAAGCCUUGAAAGCAUUGUGACUAAUGAGUUAGUUGUUGGAUGAUGCAUUACAGAACGAUUAAAGAGACUUGAUGGUAACGAGAUUGAACUAGGUAUGAGGAUACCGACGAUCGAAUCUCGGGCAAGUAACAUACCGAUGACAAAGGGAACAACGUAUGUUGUUAUGCGGUUUGACUGAUAAAGAUCUUCGUAGAAUAUGUAGGAACCAAUAUGAGCAUCCAGGUUCCGUUAUUCGUUAUUGCGGACAUAAGUCUCGGUCAUGUCUACAUAGUUCUCGAACUCGUAGGGUCCGCAUGCUUAACGUUCGGUGACGAUCGAUAUUAUGAGUUUAUGUGAAUUGAUGUACCGAAGGUAAUUCAGAGUCCCGGAUGAGAUCGGGGACAUGACGAUGAGUCUUGAAAUGGUCGAGAUGUAAAGAUCGAUAUAUUGGACGACUAUAUUCGGACAUCGGAAAGGAUUCGAGUGAUUUAGGUAUUUUUCGGAGUAUCGGGGAGUUACGGGAAUACGGGGAAUAAGUAUUGGGCCUCAUGGGCCAAGUGAUGGAUGAGAGGAGGCAGGGCACGCGGCCCCCCUAGCCCAAACCGAAUUGGACUAGGGGGCCAGCCCCCCUUUCCUCCUUUCCUCCCUCUCCUUCCUUCUCCCUCUCCUCCUUCCUUCCCUCCUCCUAGUAGGACUAGGAAAGGGAGUCCUACUCCUACUAGGAGGAGGACUCCUCCUCCUGGCGUGCUCUGCAAGGGCCGGCUGGCCUCCCCCUUGCUCCUUUAUAUACGGGGGCAGGGGCACCCUAGGACACACAAGUUGAUUGUUCCAAGCCGUGUGCGGUGCCCCCCUCCACCAUAAUCCACCUCGAUCAUAUUGUAGCGGUGCUUAGGCGAAGCCCUGCAUCGGUAGCAACAUCAUCACCGCCAUCACGCCGUUGUGCUGACGGAACUCUCAUGUGAAGCUCUACUGGAUCGGAGUUUGUGGGACGUCAUCAAGCUGAACGUGUGCUGGACUCGGAGGUGCCGUACGUUCGGUACUUGGAUCGGUCGGAUCGUGAAGACGUACAACUACAUCAACCGCAUUCUCAUAACGCUUCCACUUACGAUCUACAAGGGUACGUGGACGAUACUCUUCCCUCCCGUUGCUAUGCAUCGCCAUGAUCUUGCGUGUGCAUAGGAAUUUUUUUGAAAUUACUGCGUUCCCCAACAUGUGGAUCAUGUGAUCUCUUAUGUACUCGAGGAUCUAGCAUAUGUGUGACUAUUUCUUGUUGGUUUUAGUGAUUCUCUCGUGUUUCCCCUCGUGAUUCCCCUCGUGUUCUUCGUGUUCAUCGUGGGAUCCGCUCCUUUCAUGAAAGAUCGGCCACAUAGGGUUCCACCCUACAUCAAACAGUGUCGCUCAUUGGAACUCCUGUGGAUGGUUUCUUUUACCCUCAUUCGAGGGUUUUCGCCGGCUACCACAUUUGGGCCAUGGACAACAGUGCCGGCUUCCUCGACCUCCCACGUGGCCAUGAGCAUCGGGGCAAUGUCGAUGGACGUCAACAUUGUCGGAUCCUCCUCCUCUUCACCCGCCAUCUUCUUCCUGCCGGGGUUUUCUCCUCGGCCGGCGUACGCUCGAACUCCACCCACUCCGGUAAGUUACUAAUUUCCCCUCUGCUCAUACAUGUAGAUUAGGGUUUUCUUCAUUAGGCAUCACAAGGAAUCGAUUGGAUUCGAAUCCAAUCAAUUCCUUCUUGGCGUCUACUAUUCAUGUUCUUAAGGGUCUUCAUGUUGUUCAUAGGCAGGGUAGAUUGGUUCUUGUUCAUAGGUGGUUACAUCGUAGUUCAUAGGCAUGGUAGAUUGGUUCUUGCAUGAUAGGUAGUUACAUGUUCAUGUUGUUCAUGGUAGGGUUUGUGUUUGAUGUUGAAGCUAGAUUGGUGCUAGCUUAGGCAUGGUUUGUUGCAUGAUUUCAUUACGUGCAUAACGUUCUUGGUAGGUAGCACAAAUUUGCAUGCUCAUACACAUUGUAAGACCAUUGUGUUUCCUCGUUUACACUACAAAAAAAGACACAUCCUGACAUUUUGGGCCGAACGAAAUUUUUUUCUGCCAUACAUAUGACACUUCUAUGACGAUAAUUGUGUCAAAACCCGGUAUAAUCAUAGAUGUGGUGGGCUCCUACUUCUAUGACAAAAAAUCAUGACAGAAAAUGGGCUUUUCGUCCUGGGCGGGCCGGAGACGCGGCUGCAUGAGAUUCUUUGGGCCGUCCAUGACGGAAAAAACCGUGGUAGAAGCGAGGGGGAGGAAAAUUUUGGGGAGUUCCCGGUUACGGUGGGAGGUCGGGGGCCGAGCGAUGCGCGUUCCUCUCGUACACGUACGCGCAUGUGUGCGAGGCGUUGGCUCUAACUAAACCCGAGCAAGGCGUUGGGCUCUAACUGAACCCGAGCGAUUGCACUGCAGGCUACGCGUUACUGAAUCCGAGCGAUCGAUCGAUGGCUGUUAACUGAACCCGAUCGAGCGAUUCCUUCGCUACUGCUGCUAACUGAAGCCGAUCGAUGGGAUGAACAGUGAGCGUUGCGGGGGGGUUGGAUGAACAGUGAGCGGUGGCGUUGCCUCUGGAUGAACAAGACCCCGUGGUGUGGUGGAGUGCUGGAUGAACAGUAGGCGGUGGAGGGGUGCCUGUGGAGGGGUGGAUGAACAGGACCCCGUGGUGUGGAGGGCUGGAUGAACAGUAGACGGUGGAGGGGUGCCCGUGGAGGGGUGGUUGAACAGAACCCCAUGGUGUGNNNNNNNNNNNNNNNNNNNNNNNNNNNNNNNNNNNNNNNNNNNNNNNNNNNNNNNNNNNNNNNNNNNNNNNNNNNNNNNNNNNNNNNNNNNNNNNNNNNNNNNNNNNNNNNNNNNNNNNNNNNNNNNNNNNNNNNNNNNNNNNNNNNNNNNNNNNNNNNNNNNNNNNNNNNNNNNNNNNNNNNNNNNNNNNNNNNNNNNNNNNNNNNNNNNNNNNNNNNNNNNNNNNNNNNNNNNNNNNNNNNNNNNNNNNNNNNNNNNNNNNNNNNNNNNNNNNNNNNNNNNNNNNNNNNNNNNNNNNNNNNNNNNNNNNNNNNNNNNNNNNNNNNNNNNNNNNNNNNNNNNNNNNNNNNNNNNNNNNNNNNNNNNNNNNNNNNNNNNNNNNNNNNNNNNNACAGGACCCCCGUUUCGACUGUAGGAGGUUCGUUUCCUCCGUUUUGUGGUACGCCACACCCCUCCCGAUCAACAGGACCCCCUUUUCGACCGUAGGAGGUCCGUUUCCUCCGUUUUGCGGUAUGCCACACCCCUCCCGAUGAACAGGAUCCCGUUUCAAACGUGGCCGGUCCAACACAAGGCCGUUUCCUCCGUUCUGUGGUACGCCAGGCCUCGUUUCCAUCGCAUGUUCCGUCCAAGCCCUCCCGAUGAACACAACGCAUUCCAUUGCCUCCCCAUGAACACGACGCAUUCCGUUGCCUCCCCAUGAACACGACGCAUUCCAUUUUCUCCCCAUGAACACGACGACGACGCUGUUUCUCCGUUCCGACCCAGCCAUGUACACGAGCCCUCGCCGUACGUAUGCGCGAGCAGGCGUUCGAGACCCCGCCCGUAUGUACACAUACGUGGCCGUAUUUUCUUUCUUGCACCCUGACCGCUGUACGUACGGGGCAAACGUUUUUUUCGCGAAAUACGAUGGCCCGUCCGGUGGGUCCCCGCUGUCAGGUGGAGGAAUAAUUAUUUUGCACGUAAUAAGGAGGCACUUCCUUGCUGCGGCCGUGGACCCAGCUGUCAGCCUCCACGUACAUUCCACGUCCGAUGGAAGUCAUUCCUUGACCACGUUGACCACGCCGCGCCGAGAGCACCAGGGCGGUGGACGACGACGAGGCCUGGGAAGGGGACGACGGGGAGCCAGGGAAGACGCGGCAGUGGAAGCCCGCGCGGAGAGGAGUACGAGGGUUCACUGGUCCGGCUGCGGUGUGAGGCUGUCGUCGCCGCAGGGCCUGACCAGCGGUGGGAAUAGUAGGGGCAGUGAGGCCUCCGCGGCAGCACAGCCGGCCACGGGAGGCAGGAGCAUGCGGCACAACCGGCGCUGCUUUGGGCGGCUGGAGCAAGAAGACCAGAGGUUGAAGAAGCACUACGGCCGUUGGAUGGACAUCAUACGGUCACUGGAGCUAGAAUCGUUCAUAUUAACUAAAGUUGACAAAGGCCCCCGUCCCAGUCAACUUAGUAGGCCCACAAGUCAGCCUCCCACCAUGGUGGGUCCCAGCUAGCAGGAGGGUAUUCAUUUUUUGUGCGUAAUAAGGAGGCACUUCCGGUGGGUCCGAGCUGACAGCAGGGGGGACGUUUUUUCACGAAAUACGCUGGCCCGUCCGGUGGGUCCGAGCAGUCAAGGGGGAAAUGUUUUUUUCACGAUGUAAGGUGGCCCGUCCGGUGGGUCCCUACUGUAAGGUGGAGGAAUAAUUAUUUUGCGCAUAAUAAGGAGGCACUUCCUUGCGGCCGCCUGGACCCAGCUGUCAGCCUCUCCACGUACAGUACUCUUCCGAUGGAAAUCGAUCGUUGACCAUGUUGACCACGCUGCACCGAGAGCACCAGGGCGGUGGUCUGGACGACGGCGAGGCCUAGGAAGGGGACGACGCGGAGCCGGGGAAGACGCAGCAGUGGAAGCCUGCUCGGAGAGGAGUACGAGGGUUCACUGGUUCGGCUGUGGUUUGAGGCUGCCGUCGCCGCAGAAUAACAGGGGAUGUGGGUGAGUGGAGGGAUGGCCUGGCCAGCGGUGGGAGUAGUAUGGGGGCAGUGAGGCCUCCGCGGCAGCAUGCCGGCCACGGGAGGCAGGAGCAGGCGGCACGACCGGCGCUGCUUUGGGCGGCUGGACCAAGAAGAACAGAGGUUAAAGAAGCACUACGGCCGUUGGAUGGACAUUGUACGGUCACUGAAGCUAGAAACGUUUAUUAUUGACUAAGUUGACAAAGCCCUUGGUACGCUCCAACUUAGUAGGCCCACAGGUCAGCCUCCGAAAUGGUGCGCCCCAGAUGUCAUGGGGAGGAAUCAUUUUUUGGGCGGCCAAAGCUAAGAAUAUCCGAGAUUGAAGAAGAAGCACGACAUCCGUUGGAUAGACAUCCAACGGCCACUGCUGCUAGAACCGUGUGUUGACUAUAAUAAGUUGGCAAAGCCUUGCAUACGCAUCAACUUGUUUUUUUAGGGGAUGCGUCACUUAAUAGGCCCACAAGUGUGUGGCAGAGAACUUAUAGCCCAUUUGCGUUUUGUAAGAAUGUACAUCCCAUUUUGGAAUUCUAAUGGAGUUUACAACAGCCCAUUUACAGUUUGUUAAAAGUACAGCCCAUUUUCUAGCUAGGACAAUGAUUAAUAAUUUCAACCAACCGUUGAAGACAGAAUUCAAUAAAAUUUCCCACAUUUUGAUGGGCUCCAAAAUAAUUUUAUCCCAAAAUUUCUAGUCAGAUUAAAUAUAAAUUUGUAUUACGUAAAAAUCCAACGAAACAUUGCGCGCGCAACAAUGAAAAUUCAAGAUUUUCAAAAUCCAUAAAUAAUAUUUUAUAAACUAAUUUUGUGUUUGGUGCAUUUUUUUACAGUUACUGCCUAGUUUUUAUAAUUACAUCCCAUUUAUUAUUUUUUAAAUCCCAUUUUCCUAUUAAGCCUAAUGCAUCCCUCCUAGGAAAGAUUUGCAGCCCAACGGGGCGGAGAAUAACAAGUUGACCUUGCCUGGGUAUUCCUCAAAAAGACGUAUAGCUGGGCUAGCCAUUUUCAUCUUGAAAAAAUUAGUAUCUGGGCUGGAUAUCUGGCCUGGGCUAGACGGGCCACAGCCCACCCAGUUAAUACCCUGCUCUCCUCUGAACAACAACGAAAUCAUCGCCAAGAAAAACUCUGCAGUGCUCACGCCUCAAAAACACAAAUACUAUUCGAGCUGCUUGGUCCCAGCUGUCGGCCGCACCUUGUGCAAUUCUCUCGUUUAUAUUGACUACAUAGGUUGACAAUGGUGUGGGACCAUGAUGUCAGGAAAAUAGGAGAAAGCAAAAAAAUAGUUGUACAUAAUAAGGAGGCACUUGCGUACGUACGGCUAUGGCCCUAGUGGGUCCCUAGUGUCAUCCAGUCAAAAUAAAGUCAUCUCCUGAAUCCUCAUGUUCGUUGACGAUGUUAACAAUGCUCGGCGCCACGGCGAGCGCAACAACUCGAAGGACAACGGAGGGGACCUCGCGGGCCCUACGGAUGGUCUGAUACAGCGCCCGCUACUCAUUCAGGAAGCCAGGAUCAUCGGACACCUAUGAGCACCUUCAAGAAACUGAGACGGCAUGAAACAGUAAGGCCACGCUUGGGAGCUCUGGUUUAUUUCAAACUUGUAUUAACAUACAAGUGUAAUUUACUCGUCAUCGAAAACAACGCGUAAAAUACAGGCGUAAUGAAACCGAGGGCCUGAGGUCUGUAAGUAAAACCGGCGGGUUACGCGUGUAAUUUGAGAGACCGGUGUAUAUUUUACGAGCACUGCUAUAUGGACGACAUUAUCAGACGAUACAUGCACGACGUGCGUAUCAUGCCAUCCAUGGGCAAGGCUGAAACAGCAGCUAACGGCUGGAUUAGCAAUUGUCCGAGUGUCGUUCAGCGUUUUUAUCGUGUGUCAAGUACUUCCGAUAUUUUAUUAGUCGAAAUCGACCAACCAAGUGCCUUCGCCCGAGACCAUCUGCUUUAAUUUACAAGCAUCAGUUUUACAAGCGGUUUUGGUUGGAAAACGACGAUCCAAUCACGGCCUAAUAUCAUGAGUUGGUCGGAAGAUCAUAUGGUUUCACGUCUAACCUACCCGACUUGUCGUAUAGGCUAUGAAUGAAACAUCAGACGAUGAACUUCUUAAGCACGGAAACAGCAGAAGAGGAUGAUCUUCUUAACAAGCAAAUCACUGGCAUUAGAUUGACAUGCAAAACAAUACGAAGCAUUAUUCUCAGGAGGCAUGGUGAACAGCUCGUGAUGCCGCAUGCCACAACAUUCCAAGCUCAACUUUGCAAUCAAACACAAGGCAUGGCAUUACAUAGACAAUAUUCAGAACAAACUUUAACACAGGAAUAUCUCAGCAGAGUAACUGUUUACUUCUAAACUGAACACAGGAAUAGGAAAAAACACUCGAUGCUGCUCACAGCAAGGGCGUCCCACUCAAAAAUAUCAAAUGCAUGUCUUCUGGCUAACACCAAUAUAUUAAACUAACGUCUUCUUGCUAACAUCAGUGAUUAAACUUUGACAAGCUUUUCCCAUUCAAAAUAUUUAAUGCCUAUGAUCGUGGAGUCCUGUCGCUUCUUGCUAACAUCAAUGAUUAAACUUUGACAAGCUUUUCCCAUUCAAAAUAUGUAAUGCCUAUGAUGUGGAGUCCUAUCACUUCUUGUACUUGUUUGGGCACUUCUUGCCCAGGGCACUCCAUGUGUUAUUAAAUUGCCAAUGGUCUCUGCAGACUAGUCAUGUCACCGGUGUCUAAUAUUUAUGGCACCGGUUGUAGCAAUGGAGGGAUUCGGUGCCAAACUAAGAAAAGGUGAAAUUGGCACCUCUUUUGGCCUACAUAGUGGAAGGCCUAAUACUCUGUAAAGUUUCUCAGUCAUUCCUUCUGUAAUGUAGCGCAAACAAUGACUGCUUUUUUCUGCAAAGUGGAAUGACCAACUGGACCCAGUAAUGCAGCAGCUUCCCUUGGACACAUUGUCUCCUUUUAUGCAGUUGAACUAAAAUCGAAGUCGGAAUAAAACCGAGCUUUAAUUUUGAUAUCCCUGUAAGCAAAAAAAGGUAUAAGGGAAACAAUUACUGAGAAAUAACGGUUGAUGACUUGUAAUCCCAGAAGAAAAACAUCUAUUGAUCUACCUUAUCUUAAUGGGAAACAAAGCAGGAGAGUAGCAAUUCUCAAUCAGUGUGAUUCAUUCAUAUUAACUAAGACAUUAUCUUAACAGUGCCUUGUUUCAAGAUGUAUAAAGAACGAAAAAGCAGAAAAGUAUCAUUCCUAAAACAAAGCGACUUAUUCAUUUUAACAGAGACAUUAUCUUAACAAUACCUUGGUUAAACAUGUAGAAAGAACUACAAAGCAGGAUAGUAUCAAUUGUAAAACACUUUAAGUCUGUAACUGACAUAUAAUAACAGAGACAUUAUCUGAACAAUACAUUUCUUAAACAUGUACUCCGGCCGAUCCCUAACAGAAAUGGUACUCCUGCCGAUCCCUAACAAGUGUUUGCAGUUUUGAACUAAGAUUCAGUUCCGGGGUAGAGUGGGCACAACAACAGUAUGUGCUUCCAUCUACUUAUAAAGGGGGUGAUGCAGUGUUUGUUGUAACAAAGCAACAAGCAUCAUGUCUGGGUUGGUUCCAUUUUUGUUCACUACUUAAUGGGAAAAGACAGCAAUACAAUAGCUUCAAUUCAACAUUUAUUUAAAACAGUACCAAUACAAGUAGCACAACAUAUCAAAGCACACUGCACAAUCAUGUGGAUGAAGGCCUGUACUGACCUUUCAUGAGACCGACAACGAUAAAAUACGAAUCUGCCAACACGAAUAGGAAAUCCAAUCUUGUUUUGUGCAGUUGCACUGAAAUCAAGCAAAGUGUUUCGCGUAGCGAAGCAAAAUGUUGCAAUAGAAAAAAGUUGAAUAGAUAUCCCUGUAUAAACACAGGCAAAAAGGAAUCAAUUACUGGCUAAUAAAGGAGGAUGAAACAUGCGGUCACAAAAAUGGUAAUCCAGCAAAUCCCUAACAAGUGUUGCAGUUUUGAAAUAAGAUUCGGUAGUUAAUUCUGAGAGUGGCAUCAAUUACUGGCUUAUAAAGGGGGUGAUGCUGAAUUUGUUGUAACAAAGCAACAAGCAUCAUGUCUGGAUUGAUCCCAUUUUUGUUCACUACUUAAUGAGAAAAGAUAGCAAUACAAUAGCUUCAAUUCAUCAUUUAUUUAAAACAGUACCAAUACAAGUAGCAUAGCAUCUCAAAACACACUGCACGAUCAUAUGGAUGAAGGCAAGUACCAACCUGUCAUGACGCACACAAGAUCACGUACGAAUCUGCCAACACGAAUAGGAAAUCCAAUCUCGUUUUGUGCAGUUGCACUGAAAUCAAGCAAAGUGUUUCGCGUAGCGAAGCAAAAUGUCACAAUAGCAACAAGUUGAAUAGAUAUCCCUAUAUAAAUAGAGGCAAAAAAGAAAUCAAUUACUAGCUAAUAAAGGAGGAUGAAACAUGCGGCCACAAAAAUGGUAAUCCCGCCAAUCCCUAACAAGUGUUGCAGUUUUGAAAUAAGAUUCAGUAGUUAAUUCUGAGAGUGGCAUCAAUUACUGGCUUAUAACGGGGGUGAUGCUGAAUUUGUUUUAACAAAGCAACAAGUAUCAUGUCUGGGUUGGUCCCAUUUUUGUUCACUACUUAAUGGGAAAAGACAGCAAUACAAUAGCUUCAAUUCAUCAUUUAUUUAAAACAGUAACAAUACAAGUAGCACAACAUCUCAAAUCACACUGCACAAUCAUGUGGAUGAAGGCCUGUACUGACCUUUCAUGAGACGACCAACAUAAAAUAUGAAUCUACCAACACGAAUAGGAAAUCCAAUCAAGUUUUGUGCAGUUGUACUGAAAUCAAGCAAAGUUGUCGGUGUGACAUUUAAGUUUUCUAUGGCAACAAGUUGAAUAGAUAUUCCUAUUUUAAGAGGCAAAAAAGAAAACAAUUACUCGCCAAUAAAGGAGGAUGAAACAUGCGGCCACAAAAAGAAGCAUCUACCUUAUCUUGAUGGAAAACAAAAUAUAGGACAGUAGCAUUUUUAAACGGUUGCAUUGAUUCAUAUUAACAGAGAAAUUCUUUUAAAACAGAUCAGUAGUUAAUUCUGAGAUUAACAACAGUAAAAUAGCUGGAUGGGACAUGCCAGCACCAUGUGCGUCCACACGUAUAAAUGGGUGAUGCAGAGUAUAUAGCCAAGCAACAUAUAUACGCUGGUCCUAUAUUUGUUCUCUUUGAACCUUCUUCCUAUGUGAGGGCAGCAAAUCUAGUCGUGCACAAACUACCCGACCCCCCAAUUUCUUUCCCUUUUUAAUAAAGAGAUUGGUUCCUUACAGAUGUGUGUACUGGGUUGCCCCCUUUUUUCCCUUUUCGACCUACAAAGCGGCUGGAUAGCCAGUCUAUACUACUUUCCGCCCCUCCUUUCCUCAUUAAACCACGUCCUAGAUUCUUGCUCCAGCCCACCGCACCCUUCUUUCCUCUUUGAACCAAGACCUAGAUUCGACUAGAGAUCGAAAAAGAUCCACAUGCAGCUAGAGCAACGACGGUUUCAAAGAAGCUUAUACCUUAGGGUCGUCGGGAUGUGGCAAGGCGUGCGGCGGGAGGCCGGAUCUGCCCACACUACGUACGGCAGCGAGGAAGAAGGGGUCGAUGGCCCUCCUGCACAAGCGCUGGGUGAAAGAGAACAGCGCAGCCGGCAGUGGAUUGCCUCCCUCGCCGAAGGCGAUAGAGUGAACGCUGCACCUCCUCCCCUUCCUGGUGCGACAGGAUACGGACGCCUUCUUCACCAGUUGUGAGGGGGGAGAGAGAGACAAGAGGCCAACGCAGUCUUGUUUAGAUCUGGUGGAGAAAGGGUGAGAGACUAUGAAUAUAGCAAACCCUAGCAAAUGAACGCUGAGCCUCCAGCGUGUAACAUAUAUGUAGUGCGGCGAGCGUGUGGAGAGUGCAAACCCUAGCGAACAAGCACUGAGGCUCCCGCUUAUAUAUAUAUAUAUAUAUAUAUAUAUAUACUACUGUAGUACGGACUGAGCUCCGGUCCCUUCACUGCACCUGCUUUUGGCUGUAUGACAGGUGAGCCAGCCACAUUAUGGGCCCACCUGUCGUAAAACCCUAGCGAAAAUUGCACCAACGUGAAAGACGACUGCGUCUCCAACGCAACCAAGGUGAACUGACAAAGGAUAUCAUCUUUGUGUGUAACAAGCAAAGAGCACUGAUGGAAGACAGCUUGUUUUUCGUCGAAAAUCGACCAGCUUCACCAACUGACGCAACCAUGAGGCGCAACCAUGAGCAUCGAUAGGUCAUCGUGAUGAUGCAUCAUCCAUUUGGCAUCAAGUUUGGGUGAGGCACCUAAGAAGUUCGACAAAUCCUCACUGUGGUUUGUUUCUUCUCAGUAAUCAAGCUCGGGGAAGGAAGAACCACGUGGCAGAGGACAGUGAGGCGGAACAACAAUGACCAUCCAAUUUUAUGCAGUUCCACUAAAAUUGAGGAAGACAUGCCCGGGUAUGGAGACACGCAUCACUGUUUCCAAAAAUAUAAAAAAGGGUUAGCAACGACAUCUCAAUUGUCAAUAAGAAUUAAUGAAAAGUACACCAACAAACAGAAGCAUCAUAAUUACUAGCAAAUUGCCUGUGCGUUGCUACGGGUCUUUAAUUUUUUUUAUUACAUAUAUAUUCUUAAAACUUGGAAGAAUUUUUUUGCCCCUUUUGAACGUCCACAUAAUCCCCUUUGUUACACCUUUUCUGUUUUAUUGUGCUACACCCAUUGACUUACGGUGAUUUGUGUACAAAUUAACUACAACACAUAAAAAUAUUGCCAGACAUAUACUAAUUAUCAUAGGUUGAUGCAUGCAUCUCCUAAUUAUCUAAGGUACCAAUAAUCAACACGGGCGGAUGUCAUACAUGAGUCAUCGUGUUGCAAUGCUGAUUUGGCACUUGAACAAGACAUGGUGUUACUACUUUUUAGCUCUUUAGAAACGCUAGAGUUUUUAGGAAGAAAUCAACACCGCCUUUCUACAUGCUAAAACUAAUACAAGAUGAAGCCAAACUUUGGGUCACGGCAGGAGCCACGCACCUGAGCAUUAUCAUGCCGCGAGAGUAGUUUCUGUUUUUCAUUUUGUUGACGGACGGGCCAUGUUGUGGAGCCACUUUUAUGUACUCUAAAACUCUCCUCCUUUAUUAAUGAAUGAGGCAAGUCUUUUGCCUCUGUUUAAAAAAAAAACUUUUUAGCUCUUUAGACAAUUCUUCUAAGACAACUCCGCCCUUCAUCAUCAUGUAGUUUUGUAACGUGAACCAAAAUAAGAUUAGAGUUUAGAAAGUGAUCAAUUGUUAUGAGAGAACAGUGUAUGUUAUGCUAAAAUAUCAUGUAUGCUAAAGACAUUACCACAUGCAUUAAAAAUGAAGUAAAGUUAUAUAUCAAAAUUAUAUCUCCGCCAAAGUUUCAUCUCGAGCUUACUAUUAACCUAAGGGAUUGCAACAAUUAAAGCUUAAAAAUCAUAACACAGUAGUAGGAAUUCAACAACGUUCAUUAUUCCAUAGAGGUUCUGGAAUGGACACGAUGCAAAACCAACAGGACAAGCAAAGCAUAGUAGUUUGUAUGAAAAUGAUUACCAUCAGGGAAGAACAAUUUUCUUGAAAAUUUUCCUUUUGGAGCUACUGACAUGCACUUUACUAUUAAUCUAAAAAAACAUGCACUUUGCUGAGAUACAAAAAAUUAUGAUGCUGCAAUAAAACUCUAUAAUUGAGUAGAAAAUGACCAAAAGGCAGUGCUCCAUGUGUCUGGGCACGAUGUCCUGGACGUUGCGGCCGCGGAGGUUUAAAAUUCACGUGUGUUAUUUAAAAUGAAAACAUAGGUUUUAAAUGUAAACACAAAGAAAUAUGUGUUCUCUUAAAGAAAAGGUGUAAAGAAUGAACUAUAUACACUGGAUAUUCAUUACACGAAUCAAAGGUAGAAGAGCUACUUCAGGACAAAAAAUGUAUAUAUUACAACCGGUUCUUCUAUCUAUAUGUAACCAUUCGUCAUUAAGCUCAAUAUACCUUCUUUUUUGCCGAAGUCAAGAUCUAUUGCAGCUCAAUGCAAGCAGCUUCAACACUGAACCUUCAAUGUAGAAAUGCAAUCCCUUGUCUAUAUAGUUGCACAGUCAAGAUUGCAAUAUUGGCAUGUAUCUCAAGAGCAGCAAAAUCAUAUGCUCCUGGGUUCUAGCACUUGCCCAGCUGAUAUAACUCAAGCAAGAAAACAUAUUCAGUAAACUAAAAUGGAAACUUUUUAGAAAGAGCCAUUAAAUAGUUGCUACGAGCUACAAUGCAGUAAUGUCGUCUCCAAGGUCGACGCUCAUUUCUCCCUCAUACGUCUGGACGUGUUUGGACAUCAAACGGGUGCCCAACAGGCUCCCCAAAAUUCAGCUGACUGGACAGUUCGGACUCCCCCAAAUCCAACCCAUAUGUGAGGGGAAAAUGUGAUUGCCCGGAGUAUCUAUCAUGUUAUCCACAACACACGAUCCCAAAAGAGAGAAGAAAAAUAAAUCAUGACACACAUUUCUCUUUUCCUGACGGACCCUCCCCUUCCCUCUCGGUUUCAUGCCGUAGUGAAACAUUUCUUGUUGGAGUCCUCUCCUUUAAACCAGAGACCGCCCACCUCAGCUUCGCCACGGCACCCUCUCGCUUCACAUCGUACUUCCCCAUGGAGUGGCAAGGAGGAGUCUCCCGCCAACCACCCCGCUCUCCGCCCCAAUCCCCUCGCCAUGUUCGUGUCGAUCCGUGGGCUGCCGUUGCAUUGCCAUGGAAUAACAGAAAAUGCACCAAUCACACAAUUGUUCUAAUUUAGAAAUGUGACUCGAACAUGACGACGUGUGGCUACCAUUCAUAUAAUGGCAACAAAUACCAAUUAUCUCUACCUCUUCUUUCGUCCGGUAGUCAUCGUCUCCUUAACCACUCUCAAAGACAAAGCGACAUCUAUCUCCUUGCCACCUGCUACUCCUUCCCCGAGAAAGUACACAUGGUCGAUGAGCGUCCGAUGGUUGAACGCGGUCGAGGCAGCCUCGUUGUCGCUCGCGCUCAUGACCAGUGGCGAGCUUCGCGUCCUCGACAGCACCACCAAAGACGACAAGCCCAUGCACCGCACGGGGCCUAGUCAGGCGUCAUCCUCGACUACAACAGCCUCCAGGUGAACGACAUGGACCACAACAGUGCUUGUCGUGGGGCACGAAGACGAGGUGUUGGUUGAAAUGCCUAGGAAAGAAAGAGGAGGAAGAAGAAGGUAAUAACGGCAAAUAUAACAGUCCGAAUAAACGGAGUUCACUUUGCUGCCGCAUCAGCCCUGACAAGUGGGUCCCACAUGUCAUAACACGUUUAAAACCAGCAAAAUGGUCAUCUAACGCAAGUGGUAGUUUUUAGGCAAAAAAUUAGCAUAAUCUGGUUUUUUUGACGUUUUUUAAACCGGUAGUUCUGUGGGACCGAUGAAACCUGUAGUGUGAUAGUUUUAUGAUAAAUACUCUCCACUAUUGGGGCAUAUCAUAAGCAACCUACAUGUGACAUGUGGCAAUGCAACAAAGCGUAGCUUUUCAAAGAAAGAUAACUGUAGCUUGCUCGGCAACUAAGACAGAAAAGCUUACUUUCCUACCUAGCUUUGACGGAAACUCUGGCCAGGCUCCACAGGGCGCCAGAAGGGAUGGAACGGCUAUCUGUUACCUUGGCUCACCGAGAAUCAUACCAGCAGAUCACUGCCGCCUUACACACAGACCGUAUCUACCAGUUAGCACUGCGUCCACACUCCUCUCUGCUCUCCCUUUCUCUCCCCUCAUGAGCGCAAGGGACAAAGAAUGACACUGGAAUCAAAUAAUAAAUUAGGAUUAACAACAACCCAUCAGGUCGAGGACAAAGAAUAUUCUGAAGAAAGAUGGCACGAUACAAUAAUUUUGAUAGCAAAAUUCCAUGUCUUUUUUUUAUCACAAAAUUGUUUUUCUUUUACAAAUGCAACAAAAUGAUCCUUGAUAGAAUACAUGGAUAUAAUUAAAAGGGACAACAAUACAAAAUAAGGAUUAGAUAAGCUUCUAAACUAACCUUUUAGCAUUUAGUCUAAACAUGGAUUAAAUAAUUUCAGUAAUCAUUUAUUUAUUAGAAAUGUAACCUGAUGUGUGGCUCACAUCUGCAAAACAAUUGUUCAGUGGGCUUGGGGCUUGAAUCUAAGAAAAACUUAUAUGAAAUUUUAGAGAAGAUCAAUGCCAAGUUGGACCCGUCACAUUGAGCUUCAUCCCAGCUACAUUUUAUUUUCGACCAAUAAUAAGCUGCAAUUCUCUUGUUCUGCUAUGAUAAGUAACGGAAUCUGUUCUUAACUACAACCAGUAGAGGAAUAUCAUCAGACAUGUGGU
rnacentral:lncRNA from 1 species